rnacentral:rRNA from 1 species
GAUCAUGGCUCAGGAUGAACGCUAGCUACAGGCUUAACACAUGCAAGUCGAGGGGCAUCAGUUUGGUUUGCUUGCAAACCAAAGCUGGCGACCGGCGCACGGGUGAGUAACACGUAUCCAACCUGCCUCAUACUCGGGGAUAGCCUUUCGAAAGAAAGAUUAAUAUCCGAUAGCAUAUAUUUCCCGCAUGGGUUUUANAUUAAAGUAAAAUUACGGUUAGUGAGAUGGGAGUGCGUUCC